AGCGUACACGGUGGAUGCCCUGGCAGUCAGAGGCGAUGAAGGACGUGCUAAUCUGCGAUAAGCGUCGGUAAGGUGAUAUGAACCGUUAUAACCGGCGAUUUCCGAAUGGGGAAACCCAGUGUGAUUCGUCACACUAUCAUUACGUGAAUACAUAGCGUAAUGAAGCGAACCGGGGGAACUGAAACAUCUAAGUACCCCGAGGAAAAGAAAUCAACCGAGAUUCCCCCAGUAGCGGCGAGCGAACGGGGAGCAGCCCAGAGUCUGAAUCAGCUUGUGUGUUAGUGGAACGGUCUGGAAAGUCCGACGGUACAGGGUGAUAGUCCCGUACACCAAAAUGCACAGGUUGUGAACUCGAAGAGUAGGGCGGGACACGUGGUAUCCUGUCUGAAUAUGGGGGGACCAUCCUCCAAGGCUAAAUACUCCUGACUGACCGAUAGUGAACCAGUACCGUGAGGGAAAGGCGAAAAGAACCCCGGCGAGGGGAGUGAAAAAGAACCUGAAACCGUGUACGUACAAGCAGUGGGAGCAUCCUUUUGGGUGUGACUGCGUACCUUUUGUAUAAUGGGUCAGCGACUUAUAUUCUGUAGCAAGGUUAACCGUAUAGGGGAGCCGAAGGGAAACCGAGUCUUAACUGGGCGUUAAGUUGCAGGGUAUAGACCCGAAACCCGGUGAUCUAGCCAUGGGCAGGUUGAAGGUUGGGUAACACUAACUGGAGGACCGAACCGACUAAUGUUGAAAAAUUAGCGGAUGACUUGUGGCUGGGGGUGAAAGGCCAAUCAAACCGGGAGAUAGCUGGUUCUCCCCGAAAGCUAUUUAGGUAGCGCCUCGUGAAUUCAUCUUCGGGGGUAGAGCACUGUUUCGGCUAGGGGGUCAUCCCGACUUACCAACCCGAUGCAAACUGCGAAUACCGAAGAAUGUUAUCACGGGAGACACACGGCGGGUGCUAACGUCCGUCGUGAAGAGGGAAACAACCCAGACCGCCAGCUAAGGUCCCAAAGUCAUGGUUAAGUGGGAAACGAUGUGGGAAGGCACAGACAGCCAGGAUGUUGGCUUAGAAGCAGCCAUCAUUUAAAGAAAGCGUAAUAGCUCACUGGUCGAGUCGGCCUGCGCGGAAGAUGUAACGGGGCUAAACCAUGCACCGAAGCUGCGGCAGCGACACUAUGUGUUGUUGGGUAGGGGAGCGUUCUGUAAGCCGUUGAAGGUGUGCUGUGAGGCAUGCUGGAGGUAUCAGAAGUGCGAAUGCUGACAUAAGUAACGAUAAUGCGGGUGAAAAACCCGCACGCCGGAAGACCAAGGGUUCCUGUCCAACGUUAAUCGGGGCAGGGUGAGUCGACCCCUAAGGCGAGGCCGAAAGGCGUAGUCGAUGGGAAACAGGUUAAUAUUCCUGUACUUGGUGUUACUGCGAAGGGGGGACGGAGAAGGCUAUGUUAGCCGGGCGACGGUUGUCCCGGUUUAAGCAUGUAGGCGGAGGUUCCAGGUAAAUCCGGUACCUUUUUAACGCUGAGGUGUGAUGACGAGGCACUACGGUGCUGAAGUAACAAAUGCCCUGCUUCCAGGAAAAGCCUCUAAGCAUCAGGUAACACGAAAUCGUACCCCAAACCGACACAGGUGGUCAGGUAGAGAAUACCAAGGCGCUUGAGAGAACUCGGGUGAAGGAACUAGGCAAAAUGGUGCCGUAACUUCGGGAGAAGGCACGCUGAUAUGUAGGUGAAGUGAUUUACUCAUGGAGCUGAAAUCAGUCGAAGAUACCAGCUGGCUGCAACUGUUUAUUAAAAACACAGCACUGUGCAAACACGAAAGUGGACGUAUACGGUGUGACGCCUGCCCGGUGCCGGAAGGUUAAUUGAUGGGGUUAUCCGUAAGGAGAAGCUCUUGAUCGAAGCCCCGGUAAACGGCGGCCGUAACUAUAACGGUCCUAAGGUAGCGAAAUUCCUUGUCGGGUAAGUUCCGACCUGCACGAAUGGCGUAAUGAUGGCCAGGCUGUCUCCACCCGAGACUCAGUGAAAUUGAACUCGCUGUGAAGAUGCAGUGUACCCGCGGCAAGACGGAAAGACCCCGUGAACCUUUACUAUAGCUUGACACUGAACACUGGUCCUUGAUGUGUAGGAUAGGUGGGAGGCUUUGAAGUGUGGACGCCAGUCUGCAUGGAGCCAUCCUUGAAAUACCACCCUUUAAUGGCUGGUGUUCUAACGUGGACCCGUUAUCCGGGUUGCGGACAGUGUCUGGUGGGUAGUUUGACUGGGGCGGUCUCCUCCUAAAGAGUAACGGAGGAGCACGAAGGUUAGCUAAUCCUGGUCGGACAUCAGGAGGUUAGUGCAAAGGCAUAAGCUAGCUUGACUGCGAGAGUGACGGCUCGAGCAGGUGCGAAAGCAGGUCUUAGUGAUCCGGUGGUUCUGAAUGGAAGGGCCAUCGCUCAACGGAUAAAAGGUACUCCGGGGAUAACAGGCUGAUACCGCCCAAGAGUUCAUAUCGACGGCGGUGUUUGGCACCUCGAUGUCGGCUCAUCACAUCCUGGGGCUGAAGUAGGUCCCAAGGGUAUGGCUGUUCGCCAUUUAAAGUGGUACGCGAGCUGGGUUUAGAACGUCGUGAGACAGUUCGGUCCCUAUCUGCCGUGGGCGCUGGAGAAUUGAGGGGGGCUGCUCCUAGUACGAGAGGACCGGAGUGGACGCAUCACUGGUGUUCGGGUUGUCAUGCCAAUGGCAUUGCCCGGUAGCUAAAUGCGGAAGAGAUAAGUGCUGAAAGCAUCUAAGCACGAAACUUGCCCCGAGAUGAGUUCU
rnacentral:rRNA from 1 species